AUUGAACGCUGGCGGCAGGCCUAACACAUGCAAGUCGAACGAGUGGCGGACGGGUGAGUAAUGUCUGGGAAACUGCCCGAUGGAGGGGGAUAACUACUGGAAACGGUAGCUAAUACCGCAUACCCUCGGAUGUGCCCAGAGGGGGUUAGCUUGUAGGUGAGGUAACGGCUCACCUAGGCGACGAUCCCUAGCUGGUCUGUGAGGAGGACCAGCAACACUGGAACUGAGACACGGGACAGACUCGUACGGGAGGGAGCAGUGGGGAAGAUUGCACAAUGGGCGCAAGCCUGAUGCAGCCAUGCCGCGUGUAUGAAGAAGGCCUUCGGGUUGUAAAGUACUUGCAGCGGGGAGGCGUUACCCGCAGAAGAAGCACCGGCUAACUCCGUGCCAGCAGCCGCGGUAAGAC
rnacentral:rRNA from 1 species